UCCUACAAUAUUUCAUUUUGUCACCAGGUACCUGGACUGGUGAAAAGUGAAAACUGAAAUUCAUUCAUGUCACCAUUAUCCUACGACCUACCCCUAAAUGGAAUUGAUCUUGUUUCACAAAUGAGUUGUACAUUGUACAAUGUCUAUCAGCUGAUGUCUAUUGUCUAUCUCUCUUUCAGCACAGAAGAUCCUCAGUCAUAGUUAACAAAAUGGAAAAAAAUUAGCUGUGUUUUUAAGAUUCCAGUGGUGGCCAUCAACUGCUCAGGAAAGCAGCCCAGAAUCACUUCACAACAGGUUUCCAAAGGAUCAUCAUUCAUCAGCACAGAAGGGUGGGAAAGAGAAGGCUGUUCAAAUUCUGAAAAGCCAGAGCUGCAAAGGAGGUCAAAGAUGCAGUGCAGUUGGUCCACUCAGUAGAGUUUCACUAGUGGUUCUGAUGUGGACUGAAGAUUACACGCUGGAUUGAAGUGGCCGGUCUGGAGCAGCUGUAGUUCAUCAUUCUUGCUGAUUGUGGACGAGUAAGAUCCCGCGUUGGCCCCGAUCGGCGAUCGCUGGCCAAAGCCCACCACCAGGUUGGUGAUAGGCGUUGGCUGUGAUAUCUAGUGUCGCCUAUGUGU
rnacentral:lncRNA from 1 species